UGGCUCAGAGGACAAAGCGUCUGCCUGCAAUGCAGGAGACCCGGGUUCGAUCCCUGG
rnacentral:tRNA from 1 species